UGAGGAAUAUUGGUCAAUGGGCGAGAGCCUGAACCAGCCAAGUAGCGUGCAGGAUGACGGCCCUAUGGGUUGUAAACUGCUUUUAUGUGGGAAUAAAGUCAGGGACGUGUCCCUGUUUGCAUGUACCACAGGAAUAAGGACCGGCUAAUUCCGUGCCAGCAGCCGCGGUAAUACGGAAGGUCCGGGCGUUAUCCGGAUUUAUUGGGUUUAAAGGGAGCGCAGACGGGCUGUUAAGUCAGCUGUGAAAUGCCGCGGCUCAACCGUGGACCUGCAGUUGAUACUGGCGGCCUUGAGUGCGGUUGAGGCAGGCGGAAUUCGUGGUGUAGCGGUGGAAUGCGUAGAUAUCGGGAGGAACACCAGUGGCGAAGGCGGCCUACUGGGCACCAACUGACGCUGAGGCUCGAAAGUGCGGGAAUCAAACAGG
rnacentral:rRNA from 1 species